rnacentral:rRNA from 1 species
GAUUAAGUGUCGUAAGGGCAUUUGGUGGAUGCCUUGGCAUGCACAGGCGAUGAAGGACGUGAUACGCUGCGAUAAGCCGUGGGGAGCUGCGAAUGAGCUUUGAUCCGCGGAUUUCCGAAUGGGGAAACCCACCUUCGAUCUCUGUUAUUCCAAGGACAGGAUUUCGGUUCUGUCUUUGAGCUAACAGAGAUCAUGAGAAGGUAUUGAACUCUGAAUACAUAGGGGUUCAAAGCUAACCCAGGGAACUGAAACAUCUAAGUACCUGGAGGAAAGGACAUCAACGAGACUCCGUUAGUAGUGGCGAGCGAACGCGGACCAGGCCAGUGCCUGACUGUAAGUUACCGGAAGCGGUUGGGAAGCCGCGCAUUAAUGGGUGAUAGCCCCGUACGGAUCUGCGAACAGUUGGGACAUGAGUAAGGCGGGGCACGUGAAAUCCUGUCUGAACGUGGGGGGACCACCC